CGCCCAGUUGUUGUGGGAGGAGGAAGACAGGACAAAAGGCACGCUGUGGACGAGAGCCAGAGAUACUAACAAUAGUUUAUAGAAAGCAGUUGAUAGAAAUUGAACGAUCCAACUUAUUCCUCAUGUCCAAACAUUUAAAGACAGCAUAGAGGAAAACAAAACUCCAACUGAGGGGAAUGAAAGUGAGAAAGAAAAGCAUUUUCUGUCCACCUUAGUAUUAAACUUAAAUGUGCUUCUUUUUCUUUUUCCUCUUCUUUUUGCUUGUCCCUUUAGGGGUCACCACAGCAUAGCAUCCGUCUCAAACUUGCUCUGUUCUUAACUUCUUCCUUCUCUGUCACACCAACACUCUGCACGUCCUUACUCUUGAUAUUUUAGCAGGUUUGAAUUGGCUAAGAUUUUAUGUCAGAUGCUCUUUCUCAUACAACUUAAGUGGGGACAGGACAUGAAGGUAACUGGGUUUUGAAAGAAGUCCUGUUACGUUCAACUAAACUACUUAAAGACUACAAGAACCCACUUGAAAAAGGUAAGUGUCAACAUAUCAAUAGUUAGCAAACUCAUCCAUUACCUGGUCUAAAGCUGAGUUUAAACAGAAUAAAAGAAAUAAAAUGUGCUUAAAUAUGAUAAAAAAAAGAAGGAGGCAUUCAAAUCUAAAAUGAAAGGUAAAGCGUCACUUUCAAACAAACGAUCUGCUCAUCUGUUUUUUCAAAUAAAGAGUUAGAAUAGUUACUCUGGCUAUUUAUUCCUCAUGAGGUGUCGCAGUUUAUAUGGAAAAUGAUUAGGCUUUAAGGCUUUGACGUGUAAAUGUUAGUCAGUUUUAGCUGCCUGCUAGAGAACAGAGUGUGGGGGAAACAGGAAGACAGGAAGAUAUAACCAGGUAAGGAAACAAUGACACAGAAUCAGUAGCGUGAGUAAAACGACACACACACACACAGAGAGAGAGAGAGAGUAGAAAGAGUGAGGCACAUCUUGAGGAAGUUAGCAAAACAACAGAAGUAGAACAAAAGGCACAUCAUACUGAAGUGGUGUUUGUAGACGAUUGGCAGCUUUACAUCUGUCCACAGAAUGGGAUUGGUGCAAUACUCUGUGGCCCUCCUGAUGUUAUCCACACAGUUGGUGCUCAGCUUUCCCACACCACAGAACACCUACAACAUUGGUGGGAGAGAGUGUAAAUAUUGUCCUGCAGGUAUGUAUCAGAGUGAUUGUACAACAUGUGAACACUGUCCUGCUGGAAGUUACACAACUGACUUGAACUAUGAAGAUGAAUGCCAUCGCUGCUUUGGAGACUGCAACCCUAAGUUUCAUCUUAAAGUGGUUCAGAACUGCACCAGUACGUCUGAUAUGAAAUGUGACUGCGAGGAUGGUUUUAGAUGCAUCAGGUGGGCCCAUGACAAAAAGAACUGCUUGUCUUGUGAGAAGAUGCCAGACCCAACCCCAACCAAAGCAGCAGCUACAGAGAUCUCAGUCAGAGAUAAACACACGCCUUUCUCAGUUUCCUCCGGACAUACCAGCACUUCUCCCAAACCCUGCCAAUCUCCAGGGUGUCACCCAACGAAAGAGCCGAAUCCCACGGGAGGUCAUGCCAACCAUUACCUGGCAGCUAUUUUCAUUCCAGUGGGUGUCCUUGCAACUUUGGCCCUUCUCACCUUGUUCUGUGUCUGUCGUCCAAGAGAUGAGACAUAUAUAAGGCAAACUAUUGCAAAGCUCUGGAAUGAGGAAGGGCGAGGUGCUUCUCACAAGUCAAGGGAGCCAACUCAUCAGUUCCCCAGAGACUCAUUCAGUACAAAGCAGCAGCCCUCAACACCUUCAGCAGCCAAUCUUGGUCCAGUCCAUGUGCACAAUCCAGGCACAGUCAUCUUUAGCUUGCUCAGUCAAUUUACGGGUCAAGUCGGGCCAACGACCGAAUGUGGGAAGACGGCUGAGAGAGCGAGGAGAGAGGAAGAGGAUGAGAGAAACUGUCCAGUGUUUCAUCCUGCAUCUUCUCCCAGCAUUCAUCUCUCUGAGGAGGAGAGGAGUGGAGAGAAUGACACCAUUUUCUUCCCUUCCCAGGAGCAGGGGAAAGACUCCCACAUGUCGAAAGAGGAGAUCCUAUGAUGCAUCUCAAAAAAUUCAGAAGACUUGGAUACAACAAACUUUGAAACCACAGAUGAGUAUGGAUCAUAUUCGUCUUUCCUCAGCAAGCUGCGGAUGCACUGACUUUGUUUCUGCAGCUUCUGGAAAACACUCACCUCAGAAAUGUAUUAAAUCUCGGAAGAACAGCUGCAAAGUGGUCUUCUUUGUAAGUUAUGAUUUACGAACUCUUGUAUAUACUUUUAAUAAGCUUCUUUGGCUCAGUGCAAAGAAUGCCAUCCAAGGUGUAGAAAGCUUUGUUAGGUAGUUAUUAGGUAGUUUUAGUCAAAUUUAUUAAGUUUAUUUUAAAUGAAAAAGAAAUAGAAGAAAAAAUGUACACAGAACAUCCACAUGUGAUAUUGAAAAGCUGGCUACAAAAGCAGCUAAUUAUGUCUGCACAUAUAUGUAGAUAUACAUGAAAUAUGUUUAACUUUAUGUACUAUAGUACAUACUUUCCUUUCACUGCCACAAUGUCCCCUCUGUCUUAUCAGUUCCAAGAUUUUUACCCACCACAAUUUUAUACACUUCAAAGUCACAGAUGCCAAAAUGAUCAUCUGUCCUCUCAGGAAACAGCAACAGUUUCAAACUUUCCACCUUCUGGCAUUUCACUGAUCAGCACGGCGCGGAGUGCCUUUUAGCUCCAUUUAAAUGUCCAAAAGCAGUGACGAAUGUUUUCCAUCUGGGAUGUGCCACCGAGUGUCUUGUUAGGUUCUCGCUCCUCCAAAUUCCAGAUCUGGUCUUUAACACAUAGGUUGGUCACAUUUCCCGCACACUUCCUGGACGGGCUUGGACACUUCUUCAUCACAUGCAGGUUGUGUGGCAGGUUUUUCAGCCAAGAAGUACCCUAAGCAGCAAGAAAUGACGGGAUGGUUUUAAUAAGAAUUUAAACAUUUGGGGGUAUUUAUAACACAAAAGUUCUAAGAAAAAUAUUAAGUGAUUUAAAAGAAAUCUACUAACCGUGAGUGAACCUAAUCCAGACUAAAAAUGGCUUGAUUUUUGUCACAACAACCAGUGCAAUUCCUGUACACAGGAGGGCAAUUAUCACCAGGAACCACACCGUAUCUAUAAUAACACAUGAGAGAGUUAGUUUCCAUAAUUUACAUCAGUUCAAUAAUUUCACAGGCAACACAAUUUGGCUACUUUACCUGCAAUCGGUUUAGUGGCGAGCCUGGUGGUGGUAACAUCAGGUGUCGCCACUAGAGGGAAACAUAAAAAAAAGAGAACCUUAUAAGUUCACUGCAGGCAUUAUUAGUUCGAUGACAAGAUGACACUAUUGUGGCUUGGAUUUGUCAGUGAGCUCACUCUUUUGUCCCUAAUGUUUAACUUAUUUCAUCAUGUGUUUGUGUGUGUGUGUGUGUGUUUGAAUGUGUGUGUCCUUUCUCCACGGUUACUACAGAAGAGGCAAACAGUUACAAGAACAUGCAAAUAGCUUCCAAGCAUUAUUAACAGCUCAUUUGUUUGGAUUAUUUUUAGUCAUGUAACAGUUUCAGCUGAAUCAGAAACAUUUUAGGGAUUCUGACUAUGACCUGUCCACAUUACUGUAUGUAGGCAGGAUUACAGUACAGGAAAACACAUGCUACAACUAGGGCCUCUACAGUGACAUUUAAAAAAAGAGACACAACAGACUGUUUUGCUCACCUGCCCUCGUACAGAGCCCAGAGUGAUAAUAACACAGGACACGACAUUAAGACUUUGAAUCAGUUAACAGAUUCAUGUACUACACCCCUAAAUCUGCCUGUCUUCUAGAACUUGUUAUCAUGGAUUGCUACACUGUUACUGAGUUAUGUUGUAGGGGGGAUGGAGGCAUGAAAGGAAAUUUCCUUUAAGCACUGCGCAGAGCUUUGCCAGGAGGCUGUUGAGGUAGACAAGAGAAGUGCACAAUUCUCACAUUCUCACCUGUGUCUGUGCUCUCCUCUGUGGUUAGGUUUAGGCAACUCAAGCACUUCACAUGAAGUUAGUAAAUUCCCUAACCUUUGUGAAGUGCUGAUGGUGCCAAAACGUAACCAUAAUUAAAAAAAAUCUGUUUAAGCUGUAAGUUGUAAACAACAUUUCUUCAUUGUGUUUCAUGAAAAAUGCGAUCCGAUAACAAAUAUUUUAUUUUUUAAUUUGUUGUUGUUUUAAACACUUUUAAACACUGAUGUUAUCACCUCAGAGUGCAUACUUGUCCCUCGCAGACACAGUGGGUUUAAGGUGGAUGACAUCAGCGUUAAAGGCAUCUAAACUCAUUACUGGCAGACUGAAAGAUGCUAAAAGGCCACAUAGAGCUGACUGACCUCUGUAGGGUUGUGGGUGAUGACUAUCUAUGAUUGGGUUUCUCUAAGCAAGUCUUGACGUUAGUGCUGCUUUACAAUAUCCUGAUGGUACUUUUGUGUUGAUAUCUUCUUUUCUUUGGGUUAAAAUAUGCACUCAAAAAAUUAGUCUUUGCCCUCAUAAACACAAAAUGAAACUGAAGUAUAUCAAAUCAAAGGUUUAUUCAUUUAAUUCAUUAAUCGUGAUUUUUUUUUAGGGAGCUCAAUGUAAGUUUCAUUUGGCCAGAUUCCAUUAAUUUGAACAUUUUACGUUGUACUUACGUAACUGAAUUUUUUCAUGUAAUCAGAUUACUUAAAUGCCACCACUUUGGGCAUGAAUAUUUUUUGAGUGUGAAUGUUUCCUUGUUUGUAGGUACCCCACUGGAUCCAGACAAACACGCUAGUAAAUGCUCUUGUGCAUACAUGUAAAUAAACAGUUUCUUUUAACAAACUUAUUACUCUGAGCUACUUUCAGUCUUGUUUUCAUAAAAUAAGGCAUUUGAACUCAUGGGUUCUCAGGAGUAUUUUUAAAUAAAAAAGAAGUUAUAUUCCCAGAUGUAGUUAAAUGAGUAACUUCUCAUGAAAAAUGAGCAUUUGCUGCCCUUUUGUGGUUCAGCCUGUACACUCAGACAAGUUUGACGCCUAAAUCAUUUUGGUGUAAAAGAUGAGUAUAUCUGUUAUGUUAUUGCUUUUCAUGGUAGUGUUAAAUUAGUCUCCGAUCUUAUGUCUUUGGGCAACGCAUCUACAAUGUUAUUUUUUGUGCUUUUACACUGAUAAUCUGUAGCAAAUUGUUAAUGAAAGAAUGCAAAACGACAAAGCUCCUUAAUGAGAAUGUGAUGCUGCACGUGGCCCUCAAGUGUGUUAUGGUUGAAACUAUUCAAAACAAAACACUGCAAUGAAUAAAUGAUAACCACUGUGUCAACAAUUGUUUCACAUUUAGUUGACUGUGCCGAGAAGGGCUCACUUACCAGUAGUAGAUGGAGGGACGGUGGGUUUGAUUGUGGAUACACACUCUUUACAGUCUUGGUCUUUGCACUUGUAGCCAGCCUUACAUGGGCACACAUUGUUAUGAGUCGGGUUGCAGUCUGUCUUGACCUCCACUUUUGCUGUGGAAAAACACGGUCAUUGUUAAAAGUGAUUUAAAGACGGAUAAAGUUGAAAGUGUGUGCAAAGGAUGUCUUUGUGAUAAAACUGAAAAUGUGAAAUGACUCACAAAGCUAGGCACGACAGGUAAAGAUUCUGGUUUGAAGUCAUAAGACCGUUAUAUUAUCACGUCUGGUGCUUCUUCUUUAGAGAAUUUUAAACACUUUUUAAACACUGAUGUUAUCACCUCAGAGUGCAUACUUGUCCCUCGCAGACACAGUGGGUUUAAGGUGGAUGACAUCAGCGUUAAGUGCAUCUAAACUCAUUACUGGCAGACUUUAAAAACUAGAAACAACGAGCUGAAAGAUGCUAAAAGGCCACAUAGAGCUGACUGACCUCUGUAGGGUUGUGGGUGAUGACUAUCUAUGAUUGGGUUUCUCUAAGCAAGUCUUGACGUUAGUGCUGCUUUACAAUAUCCUGAUGGUACUUUUGUGUUGAUAUCUUCUUUUCUUUGGGUUAAAAUAUGCACUCAAAAAAUUAGUCUUUGCCCUCAUAAACACAAAAUGAAACUGAAGUAUAUCAAAUCAAAGGUUUAUUCAUUUAAUUCAUUAAUUGUGAUUUAUUUUUUUUUGGGAGCUCAAUGUAAGUUUCAUUUGGCCAGAUUCCAUUAAUUUGAACAUUUUACGUUGUACUUACGUAACUGAAUUUUUUCAUGUAAUCAGAUUACUUAACGCCACCACUUUGGGCAUGAAUAUUUUUUGAGUGUGAAUGUUUCCUUGUUUGUAGGUACCCCACUGGAUCCAGACAAACACGCUAGUAAAUGCUCUUGUGCAUACAUGUAAAUAAACAGUUUCUUUUAACAAACUUAUUACUCUGAGCUACUUUCAGUCUUGUUUUCAUAAAAUAAGGCAUUUGAACUCAUGGGUUCUCAGGAGUAUUUUUAAAUAAAAAGAAGUUAUAUUCCCAGAUGUAGUUAAAUGAGUAACUUCUCAUGAAAAAUGAGCAUUUGCUGCCCUUUUGUGGUUCAGCCUGUACACUCAGACAAGUUUGACGCCUAAAUCAUUUUGGUGUAAAAGAUGAGUAUAUCUGUUAUGUUAUUGCUUUUCAUGGUAGUGUUAAAUUAGUCUCUGAUCUUAUGUCUUUGGGCAACGCAUCUACAAUGUUAUUUUUUGUGCUUUUACACUGAUAAUCUGUAGCAAAUUGUUAAUGAAAGAAUGCAAAACGACAAAGCUCCUUAAUGAGAAUGUGAUGCUGCACGUGGCCCUCAAGUGUGUUAUGGUUGAAACUAUUCAAAACAAAACACUGCAAUGAAUAAAUGAUAACCACUGUGUCAACAAUUGUUUCACAUUUAGUUGACUGUGCCGAGAAGGGCUCACUUACCAGUAGUAGAUGGAGGGACGGUGGGUUUGAUUGUGGAUACACACUCUUUACAGUCUUGGUCUUUGCACUUGUAGCCAGCCUUACAUGUGCACACAGUGUUAUGAGUCGCGCUGCAUUCUGUCUUGACCUCCAUGUUUGCUGUGGAAAAACA
ensembl:lncRNA